AUGCAUCUUGCUGCCGCGGUGCCGCCGCCAUCCUCCGCCCCCUCCCCCUCCCCCGUCCCCGCUCCCCCAACUCCCCUCCCAUCGCCCACCCGCCUCGCCGUCGCUCUCGCGUUGCCGAUCUCGCCGCUGCCGCUGCUCGUCGUCGCCAUCGUCGAGAGGAGAGCGACAGGUGGACCAGGCGCGUCGCCAUCGACGGGAGAUGCGCAGGAACCGCCAGCGCUCCUCCGGCGACCAAUCCUUCUCUCUCGCCCAUCGUCGCGCCCCCGUCGUGCUCGUGCAUCACAUCAUCGGGAGGAGGGCAGAGAUGAUGGGAAGAAGAGGCAAGGUCGUAUGGUGGUGGGUAGGGGGGCUCAGGCGUCGCCAGAGAUAAAGGAAUGCCAUAAUGUUUUUUCUGCUGACUUCUCUCUUGCUGCUGCUGCAGGUUGUUGGCUCACCCACGCUGCCGGCGCUGAGGCGGAUGCCGAUGUCAUCGUUUCCUCUGGCCAGCUUUGCCCAUGUUUCUGGGGACGUUGCGCCCUCUACGGCCGGAAGCCCCUCGCCCUGGCGCCGCCACUACGUGCCGCCCCCAACGCCAACAUCGGUAUCUCUCUACUGAUCUCCUUUUUUGUGGCAUAUAUGCCAGGAAACUGA
rnacentral:rRNA from 1 species